GAUGAACGCUGGCGGCGUGCCUAAUACAUGCAAGUCGAGCGAACGGACGAGAAGCUUGCUUCUCUGAUGUUAGCGGCGGACGGGUGAGUAACACGUGGAUAACCUACCUAUAAGACUGGGAUAACUUCGGGAAACCGGUGCUAAUACCGGAUAAUAUUUUGAACCGCAUGGUUCAAAAGUGAAAGACGGUCUUGCUGUCACUUAUAGAUGGAUCCGCGCUGCAUUAGCUAGUUGGUAAGGUAACGGCUUACCAAGGCAACGAUGCAUAGCCGACCUGAGAGGGUGAUCGGCCACACUGGAACUGAGACACGGUCCCGACUCCUACGGGAGGGAACAGUAGGGAAUCUUCCGCAAUGGGCGAAAGCCUGGCGGAGCAACGCCGCGUGAGUGAUGAAGGUCUUCGGAUCGUAAAACUCUGUUAUUAGGGAAGAACAUAUGUGUAAGUAACUGUGCACAUCUUGACGGUACCUAAUCAGAAAGCCACGGCUAAAUACGUG
rnacentral:rRNA from 1 species